rnacentral:rRNA from 1 species
AUUGAACGCUGGCGGCAUGCUUUACACAUGCAAGUCGAACGGCAGCGCGGGCUUCGGCCUGGCGGCGAGUGGCGAACGGGUGAGUAAUACAUCGGAACGUGCCCAGUAGUGGGGGAUAGCUCGGCGAAAGCCGGAUUAAUACCGCAUACGACCUGAGGGUGAAAGCGGGGGAUCUUCGGACCUCGCGCUAUUGGAGCGGCCGAUGGCAGAUUAGCUAGUUGGUGGGGUAAAGGCCUACCAAGGCGACGAUCUGUAGCUGGUCUGAGAGGACGACCAGCCAGACUGGGACUGAGACACGGCCCAGGCUCCUACGGGAGGCAGCAGUGGGGAAUUUUGGACAAUGGGCGAAAGCCUGAUCCAGCAAUGCCGCGUGUGUGAUGAAGGCCUUCGGGUUGUAAAGCACUUUUGGCGGGAACGAAAAGGACUGUGCCAAUACCACGGUUCGAUGACGGUACCCGCAGAAUAAGCACCGGCUAACUACGUG